AGAACGAACGCUGGCGGCAGGCCUCAAACAUGCAAGUCUAGGGGAUGUAGCAAUACAUCACCGGCGGACGGGUGCGUAACGCGUGGGAAUAUACCUAUUGGUUCGGAACAACUGAGGGAAACUUCAGCUAAUACCGGAUGAGCCCUAACGGGGAAAGAUUUCUCGCCAAUAGAUUAGCCCGCGUCCGAUUAGCUAGUUGGUGGGGUAAAAGCCUACCAAGGCGACGAUCGGUAGCUGUUCUGAGAGGAAGAUCAGCCACACUGGGACUGAGACACGGCCCAGACUCCUACGGGAGGCAGCAGUUGGGAAUCUUGGACAAUGGGGGAAACCCUGAUCCAGCCAUGCCGCGUGAGUGAUGAAGGCCUUCGGGUUGUAAAACUCUUUCGACGGGGACGAUAAUGACGGUACCCGUAGAAGAAGCUCCGGCUAACUUCGUGCCAGCAGCCGC
rnacentral:rRNA from 1 species